rnacentral:rRNA from 1 species
AGAGUUUGAUCAUGGCUCAGAUUGAACGCUGGCGGCAUGCUUUACACAUGCAAGUCGAACGGCAGCACGGGGGCAACCCUGGUGGCGAGUGGCGAACGGGUGAGUAAUGCAUCGGAACGUGCCCAGUAGUGGGGGAUAACGCGUCGAAAGAUGUGCUAAUACCGCAUACGCACUACGGUGGAAAGCGGGGGAUCGUAAGACCUCGCGCUAUUGGAGCGGCCGAUGUCCGAUUAGCUAGUUGGUGGGGUAAUGGCCUACCAAGGCGACGAUCGGUAGCUGGUCUGAGAGGAUGAUCAGCCACACUGGGACUGAGACACGGCCCAGACUCCUACGGGAGGCAGCAGUGGGGAAUUUUGGACAAUGGGCGCAAGCCUGAUCCAGCCAUGCCGCGUGAGUGAAGAAGGCCUUCGGGUUGUAAAGCUCUUUCGGCCGGAACGAAAUCGUCCGGGCUAAUACCCUGGAUGGAUGACGGUACCGGAAGAAGAAGCACCGGCUAACUACGUGCCAGCAGCCGCGGUAAUACGUAGGGUGCAGGCGUUAAUCGGAAUUACUGGGCGUAAAGCGUGCGUAGGUGGCUUCCUAAGUCAGAUGUGAAAUCCCCGGGCUUACCUGGGAACUGCGUUUGAAACUGGGAGGCUAGAGUGCGGCAGAGGGGGGUGGAUUCCACGUGUAGCAGUGAAAUGCGUAGAUAUG